UCGAGCGGGGUGAUGGUGCUUGCACUAUCACCUAGCGGCGGACGGGUGAGUAAUGCUUAGGAAUCUGCCUAUUAGUGGGGGACAACAUUUCGAAAGGAAUGCUAAUACCGCAUACGUCCUACGGGAGAAAGCAGGGGAUCUUCGGACCUUGCGCUAAUAGAUGAGCCUAAGUCGGAUUAGCUAGUUGGUGGGGUAAAGGCCUACCAAGGCGACGAUCUGUAGCGGGUCUGAGAGGAUGAUCCGCCACACUGGGACUGAGACACGGCCCAGACUCCUACGGGAGGCAGCAGUGGGGAAUAUUGGACAAUGGGCGCAAGCCUGAUCCAGCCAUGCCGCGUGUGUGAAGAAGGCCUUAUGGUUGUAAAGCACUUUAAGCGAGGAGGAGGCUACUUUAGAUAAUACCUAGAGAUAGUGGACGUUACUCGCAGAAUAAGCACCGGCUAACUCUGUGCCAGCAGCCGCGGUAAUACAGAGGGUGCAAGCGUUAAUCGGAUUUACUGGGCGUAAAGCGCGCGUAGGCGGCUAAUUAAGUCAAAUGUGAAAUCCCCGAGCUUAACUUGGGAAUUGCAUUCGAUACUGGUUAGCUAGAGUGUGGGAGAGGAUGGUAGAAUUCCAGGUGUAGCGGUGAAAUGCGUAGAGAUCUGGAGGAAUACCGAUGGCGAAGGCAGCCAUCUGGCCUAACACUGACGCUGAGGUGCGAAAGCAUGGGGAGCAAACAGGAUUAGAUACCCUGGUAGUCCAUGCCGUAAACGAUGUCUACUAGCCGUUGGGGCCUUUGAGGCUUUAGUGGCGCAGCUAACGCGAUAAGUAGACCGCCUGGGGAGUACG
rnacentral:rRNA from 2 species